AUUGAACGCUGGCGGCAUGCCUUACACAUGCAAGUCGAACGGCAGCGCGGGAGCAAUCCUGGCGGCGAGUGGCGAACGGGUGAGUAAUAUAUCGGAACGUGCCCUAGAGUGGGGGAUAACUAGUCGAAAGAUUAGCUAAUACCGCAUACGAUCUACGGAUGAAAGUGGGGGAUCGCAAGACCCCAUGCCCGUGGAGCGGCCGAUACCGGAUUAGCUAGUUGGUAGGAUAAAAGCCUACCAAGGCCACGAUCAGUAGCUGUGCUGAGCGGACGACCAGCCACACUAGGACUGAGACACGGCCCAGACUCCUACGGGAGGCAGCAGUGGGGAAUUUUGGACAAUGGGGGAAACCCUGAUCCAGCAAUGCCGCGUGUGUGAAGAAGGCCUUCGGGUUGUAAAGCACUUUUGUCCGGAACGAAACGGGCCGAGCUAAUAUCUUGGCCUAAUGACGGUACCGGAAGAAUAAGCACCGGCUAACUACGUGCCAGCCGCCGCCGUAA
rnacentral:rRNA from 1 species